rnacentral:rRNA from 1 species
CCGGCACGGGUGAGUAACACGUAUCCAACCCGCCGUCUACUCUUGGCCAGCCUUCUGAAAGGAAGAUUAAUCCAGGAUGGCAUCAUGAGUUCACAUGUCCGCAUGAUUAAAGGUAUUUUCCGGUAGACGAUGGGGAUGCGUUCCAUUAGAUAGUAGGCGGGGUAACGGCCCACCUAGUCAACGAUGGAUAGGGGUUCUGAGAGGAAGGUCCCCCACAUUGGAACUGAGACACGGUCCAA